rnacentral:rRNA from 1 species
GACCUGGCUGGGUGGUCUUGCCGAAAGGUAAGCACUGCUCCGGUCGGGUCUUUCCUUCUGGGGAACCAGUGUGCUCUUAAUUGGGUGCGCUGGGGAUCCAGGACUUUUACCUUGAGAAAAUUAGAGUGUUUAAAGCAGGCAUAAGCUUGAAUACGUUAGCAUGGAAUAAUAGAAUAGGAC